UUUCGGUGAGCUGAAGCCCGGAAAUGCGAGCCAGCUCCUCUAAGGUAAGCGUCAAUAGGAGAUGGUAGGGGCUUUUGGUAAGCCGGGGCCCCGAAAUUCGAGCCAGCUCUUCUAAGGUAAGCUUGGCCUCACCAGUUGGAAGAAAAAAUGUAUUGGUAAGCGAAUUGAACCGCUCAAGCGAUGCCUUGAGCAAAUUAAAAUUGACAUGGGACUCUCGCCAUGAGAGAAACCCCCAUCAUAGACAAAAGUGCCCAAUUCCACCCAAACCUGAACGGAAUCAUACUAUUCUUGAAACCAGCCUGGGAUUAGAGGAUAAUCUCGAAGCCGUUGCGGCCU
rnacentral:lncRNA from 1 species